ACCCUCUGGCAGUGGGCAAAGAGACACCUUGUUGUUGUUGUUCUUAUUAUCAGUCAGGGGCAGAGCAGAUGCAAUCCUUUGUUUGUCUUAGCUCCAUGCUUGGCUUGGUGGCCAAAGCUGUUUUAUGCCUAGAACACAUAA